rnacentral:misc_RNA from 1 species
AAUUCUCAAACUCUGAUUGAUUUUGUUUCGAUCAGAGCUUUGGAUUUGGAGCGUGCUGGCGUCAGUCGGCUCCUCUUGAAUGCAUCAGCGGAAUCCCCAUUCAUUUUGGACGUCAGUGUGAUAAUCAUGUUGCGCUGUCUCUUGCCGAUCUUGAAAGCCCGCUCACAAUGGUCUUCGGACAAACCUCACAUAUCAAAU